GUUCCCUUCUAGGCUAUAUGUUUUUGAAGUUAGAAACUAUAUUUAUAUCACAGCCCCUAUGUAUAGCACAAUAUCCAUUGCUAAUUCAGAUUGUGUUUUAAGAUAUGAGGGAAAAUGUAAGACUUUUAUUAUAGUCAUAAACAUCUAGCAAACCAACCAGAAAAUAAAAGCGAACUUUCAGUUGGUUGGCCGAGAACAAAAGAAUGAAGAAUACCUAGUGCAAAACCAUAUCUCUAAUAACUACUGUUGAAUUUAGAGCACACACAUGCUAAAAAAUAUCUUAUCAAAGAUUUGAGGUUGGACCAGAAAAAAUUAUAUCAGAAGUGAAAAUAAUCAUGUGGUCUGACCAGCGUGUAUCACACAAAGUAAGUGUAAACUAUAUAUAAAGUAGAUAGACUACGAGGUCCUACUGUAUAGCACAGGCAACUAUAUUCAAUACCUUGUAAUAACCUAUAAUGGAAAAGGAUCUGAAAAAGAAAUACAUGUAUCUGAACCACUUGGCUGUACACCUGAAACACAACAUUGUCAAUCAACUAUACUUCAAGUAAAACAAAACAAAAGAAAAAACUAAGUGUAAAGGGAAGUAUAGUUUUAUAAAUUCACCUCUGAUACCCAAUGGACCAACUGAAAGACAACAGAAAGUACAACUUUCUAGGAGACAGGACAUGGCCGGCAAACCAGGCCGUUACGCUCGGUAACGGUCAUACCUGCCAAAAAAUAUACAGACUAGCCUGCAUUCAUGAAUACAUAGGAAUUCUUCAUUUAUCUGGCAUUGUUAGGCAAUGAGGUAUUGUAUGUUAGGAGAAGUAUUUUUAAAAUGACAAGUUGAAGAGGAGUUAUUUUAACCUUCACUCGGUAAUUUUUUUCUAAAAUUAAGAAAUGUAUCUACUGGUGUAUCUAAUGUUUCCUUGAUAACUCGGGGUCAUCACUUCAAUCAACGUUUGCAUGAAUAAUGCGAAUGGAAACAAGACAGGCAUGCUUACUGAAACUGAAAAUGACAUACCAAUGGCUGGAAUAACUGAUGAGAGAGCAAGAAAACAGCAAAACUGAAAACAAACCGUGAUCAAGAAACAAUCAGUCAAGUUCUGACUUUCUGUACUUAGUUUCAAAAAGAGAUACCACAAAUCCCAGCGAGAGACUCCAGCAUCAUCAGCUGUCUUUCUCCUUUGUUUCCACCUUCCUUUCCUUUUCCUUCUACCCUAGAUUGUUCCAGGAAGUGUUUAUAGCUCCUUACAAGACAAAUUCUAAUACUUGCUUUCUCUCACACAAACUUCACAAUAUGUCCAUGUGAUAAAUGGUGUGGCGGUAAAAGAGAAUUCAUCACAGGCACAUCUCCUAUGAAAAUAAAAUUAGAAACUAGCUUCUAAACAUGAAGAGAGAAGGGCGUGGUGUCAGGCACUAAUUUCCUUGUGAAUUCCUCUCCAUUUCUAAUAGACGUUUUUCUUUACCAACAUCCCUUUUUAUUUGUGUCCCAUUCCAGACUGCUCCACUCCGCCCAUCAUCAUCUUGUAAAAUACAUUUACACUCUUUUGUGACCCUACUUAUUUUCCCAUUAAAUAAUCCAUCAUAGAACUGUCAGAAUUAAAUAUAGAGUGAAAUUAAAAUACUGGAGUCACUUGGAGGGUUUAGCAGCUCCACCAGAAAAUACUGGGCAUGGAUUUAAAAGAGGCUGCGUGGGACUUGCUCUUGUCCAAGUUCUUUCUCAAGAAGUAUCUGAAAUAAGCCUAAAUUCAGAGUUAAUCAGACUGGCCUGCUUUCUCAGGUGGACUGGAAUUCAUUGCUCUUUCCCCUCAACUCCGAUGUCAGUGGCACUUUCCGGAGAUGAGGUGGACUUCUCUGCCUACUGCAGAAGCUCAGUUCCCCCCGGGUCCACUCUCUGUCUGAAUCCCACACUUGAGGCCAGAUGCCAGCCUUCCCAGAACAUUCGUGGCCUCAUUUCAGUUUUUGACCUGCUCAGAUUGAGUCCCUCUAGACUCUUUCUCAGGUGGAAACCUGAUCUUCCACCCCUUUCCCUAACCUCGAUGGUUACCUUCCCUCAUUAGGCCUCAGGUGCUUUAGCUAUAAAAUGAUACAGUUGCCCUUAAUUCUAAAGUCUUCUUUCUAAAGCGCUACAAUGUGGUGGCUCCUUGAAAAUGUUUCUCUUUGCUGGUUUUAAUUUUAUAGAGAAUUAAAAGCACAGCUACUCUAAAAGACAGUAAGUUGCAUUGGAUAAGGAAAAUGUACUUUUGUAGUUAGAUUAACAGGGAUGGAAGACGACUUAGUAUGUUUUAAGAUACUCAUGAUCCGUUCUCGUGAGAGUUGGGGGAAGAAGGGGAAGAGAGUUAAUAAAAUACCAAACGAUUGUGACAAAUUAAGUUCACCAAGAUGUAGCUGAUUAGUUACUACUUGAAUAAGCCACACAAAUCCAAUUCAAGUUGUCCUUUAUUUUUCUAAGAAGGAUCCCAGUGAACUGAGUCCCAUGUUCAGUAACUCCACGUUCAAUGACUUAGUCUUUAAACACUGUUAUGUUGCUGGAAGCAGAAAUAUUGCCUAUCAGUCCUAAUUGAUGUUUAGCUAUCACGCACAUUUGAAAUAAAUUUAUUACUUUGACUGGUCUCGGUGUAAUACAUUCCAAAGGGGCAAAGAGCACACGAAAAGUUAUGGAGUCUCCAUCUUCUACACUGAAGUGUGCAAUAAAUUACAUACUAUUUGGCCGUGAAAUUCACAAGCCAUAGAAACCACGCCAUUAGCAGUGUAUACAGUGGUAAAGAGCAGGUAAUGAGAAUGAUAUAAAACCAAACAGACUGCGUACGUUGGCACUGCUGCCAAUAAAGCAAUCAUUAAAUGCAUUCAUAUGCAUCUACGCUAGGUAAGCUCUUUGAGGGCAAUUGCUAUGAAUUCUACAUACCUGUCAGGAUACUAUAUAUAGCCCACUUUCUAUGCCCUUUAUUCAAAGACGCUGAGAAAGGGUUACUCUGGGUAAAUCCAGACCUUUUCUCAAUAUAGAAUUUGGUCAACAUGCGUUCUGAACAGCAAAAUUUCACAGUAUUUUACUACACUAAUUGUCACCUCAGCAAAUGCAGGAUUAAGUAUAAUGGAUUAUAAGAAGUUAGGAAAGAUGGAAGAAAAGAAGGAAGGUAGAAAAAAGGUGGGUAUGGAGUACUUCAACAUUUAUGUAAAGAGUGGACCUAAAACUACCCUGAGGUUACUGUGAAUUAUUAGCAUAUGCUAUAGAAACUUAAAUGAAAAAAUAAAAAAACCCAGCAAGGGAAACUCAAAGAUUCUCUGUUUUUUCACUUUACUGCAUAUACACGUCCAUCUUAACCAAUCUAUAUGCUUAUAUCCAACAAGAGAGCAUUGUUUUGCAAGGCUAUUUGGGUUCUAUCAGCAUGUAAAGGUCGGACAACUCAACUUUAGCAGAGUUAGCCUUCAGGUGAAUAAUUGCUUCUUUCAGGUUGCGAGCAUUUGAAUUUUCCAGAAAUGUUUCCCAAAAUAUGAAAACUAAAAGAAGGGUCCUAGGACAGCGUCCUUUAGAAGUUUUAUAUAGUAUCAAGGCUUUUGGAGGAAGAGAAUCCUUGUCGAUUAUCAACACAAUGAUUCCAAGCAGGUCAAUUUUUGCUGAGAAUAUUAUAUAACAGAACCCAUUUCACCUCCAUUAUACUGACAAUGAUCUUCCUUACUUCAACCUUGUGCUUCUUAGUAAAGUUGAAAAUACUGAGCCAAGAACAGACAGUGACAAUGCCAGAGACUCAGAUGUACCUAUAGGUGCCUUCAGACAACAUCAGCCACCCAGGCUAAAGUCCUGGUUUAAAACAUCCCAACAUGAAUGAAUCUCAAAAACCAUAUGCUGAGCAAGUGAAGCCAGAUCAAAAGGGCACCUACUGUAUUAUUCAACUUACAUGAAAUUGUAAACUGGGCAAAAGUCAUCUCUAAAGAUAAAAAACAGAUCCGUGGUUGCCUUGGGGUAGGAGAUGGGGAUAUUUUUGCAAAAGCCUGGAAGGAAACUUUCUAGGGUUUUAGAAUUGUUAUCUAUCUUUAUGGGGGUGGUAGUUAUACAAAUGUAUACAUUAAUUAAAAGUCACUGAACCGUUGACUAAAAAUGUCUGCAUUUUAUUGUAUGUAAAUGAUACCUUAAUAGGGUUGAUUACAAAAUAAACCAAAACCAAAACCAAAACAAAGCAGAAGAAAAACCUCUCAAGACCUCAAAGGAAAUACACUGUUUUCUUCCAGGGUACCAGAUUGGAAAUGAGGCAUUGGUCUGUUCUACCCUCAGAUUAUCCCUAGGAUUAUCUAGUCUAUUUUAAAGCACUAGAGUCCCCUAUCAGGAAAACUCACCCCAUGUUUAAUUACUUUGAUUUCUUCUGUGCCUCUUCUCCCAACACAGUGAAGCCAUUCACGGAAGAAAAACCACCUUUUUCCAACUUUGCAUCACCACAUAUUCUUUCUAAAGCUAUUAUUUAUGUAAUAAAAUUUGGCUACACUUUGUAAAAAUCUAGCUUUUUGAGCCUUACAAAUCUUAACAGUUAACCUAUUGCCUCCACUGGAAUUUGGAAAAAAAAUUAUUUUGAACACGAAUAGCUGAGAAUUCACAUUUUUGCUUUUUGUGAUUUUCUCUUCCACUAAGAUAGAAGUGAGUAGGAAUGAGAAACACAUACAUAAAGAAAAAAAAUUAUCUUGCUGCCUUUGCAUGGUUAUAAUUUAUAGGAGGCCCUUAUCAACAAUAAUCUAUUAUCAGAAUCAAUAAAAUAUAAUCUCCAUGAAGGCCAGGCCAGGAUAUUUGUCUCUUUUUCAGCAGAUUGCAAUACAAACCACAUUCAUGGAUAUGCUUCUUGAUGAUCUUUGUAAUACUGGAACAGUUGCCCAUUUCGUCAUGCCUCUUCACCUUAACUUCAACCUGGUGUCUCACUAAUGACCUCACAUUUCCUUCUCUAUCACUUGGUUGUGGGCCUCUUUUCCGACUCCAACUCGCAUUUCACUCUGGCACCAAAGGAAGACUCACACCUUCCUGCUUUUUAGUGAUACCUCAACGUCAUUACCAUAUUGUGAUCACCCUGCAGAAUAGCCAGACAAUUGUUAUUUCAGAGCCAUCUGACAGUUUGUAGUUCUAAAAAUUAACUAAGGACCGCAUUUGUCAAAAAUAUCCUAGUUUAAGAUUUUGCUAAUACAGCAACAGUAAUUCCGAAGUCAUUUAUGACAAUCAGUGUGGGAAGCACCCUCCUUCAGGAAGAUCCUUUGCCAUACAAUACUCUUUCCCUGUCUGGUAAUAAGGAAGCACAGCCGUGGAAAGUAACCUUUUGUGGAAAGAAAUACUUGGCUUCGAGAAGGCUUGCAGUUCAUACAUUUUUCUUGAAUUAGAUUCCCCAUUAAUUACUUUAUCCACAAAGAGAUUUCUGUGUGUGUGUGUCCCCAUGAUGAAAACAUCAUUAAAGUAAAAUAUCAUGAAUAGACUCUUAAGAAGCAGAGUCUACUUAAAGUCCUGGAAAAUAUGAAAGCACUAAUAUUCAUGGACAACUCUACACUCUGAAAGUUACUCCAAAUUUUGUUGAUGUCUCUUUUGUCUAGGAGAUUUUCAAAUUUUCUACCAUGAUCAUUUGUUAGUUUUAUAAUUACAUAAUAAAGGCAUUACAUCAUACAA